GAGCCUGAUCGAGACGGUUCGCAGCAUGACACCCGCGGCGACGAUCAUCGUGUCAGGACCACUGCCCACGUAUCGACGAGGACACGAAAGGUUCAGUAGACUUGUUGCUUUAAAUGAAUGGUUGUUGUCAUGGUGUAAAGAACAGAAACUGCUAUUUGUUAAUAACUGGAAUCUUUUCUGGGAGCGUCCUAGGCUGUUUCGCGCUGAUGGCCUGCACCCCAGCAGAGUCGGAGCGGAGCUGCUCUCUGACAACAUCUCCAGGACACUUCGCUCCAUGUGACUAGGCAGUUUGUAAAGACAGAUAAUCAAGAGAAGUCAGUUCCAGAUCCACCUUCCACACCAGACCUCUCUCUCAUGAGGAUUGCUGUCUACUAGCAUAUUGUGUUCUCUUCAGACUUCGGGGGAUGCAGAUAUUACUCAGGGACAUGAACACUUGAAUAUUGCAAGAAUAGAGAAAGUAAGAAUUACUUAAGAUUUUAGAAUUUAAUGUUAAUUGCUUAAACAUAUAUACAUAUAUUUUUUUUUAGAUAUUUUUUUGUGGCAGUGUGAACUGGCCAUAAUGCUGUAUGAUAGGUGUGAGAUUCAUUAAACUUGAUUUGCUAUAAUA